AAAUUGAAGAGUUUGAUCAUGGCUCAGAUUGAACGCUGGCGGCAGGCCUAACACAUGCAAGUCGAACGGUAACAGGAAGAAGCUUGCUUCUUUGCUGACGAGUGGCGGACGGGUGAGUAAUGUCUGGGAAACUGCCUGAUGGAGGGGGAUAACUACUGGAAACGGUAGCUAAUACCGCAUAACGUCGCAAGACCAAAGAGGGGGACCUUCGGGCCUCUUGCCAUCGGAUGUGCCCAGAUGG
rnacentral:rRNA from 1 species